GAUUUCAUAAAUAUUAUUUUAUUUUAAAAUUUUUUAAAAUAUUUAUGGGGAGUAAUACGCUUUCGUUUCUAAGGGUAUCUAGUUUAAUUUGUUUUAAAGGGGAAAUCUUUUUAAAAUUUUUAGUAUAACAAUGGUUAGGUUUUUUUUAAUAGUAAAUAAUUGUGUAAUAACUUUUUAAGUAAUCUUAGGGGAAUUUUUUUUUGUUUUAUUAUGUAAGGUAAUCAAUUAAUAGAUUAGUAGAUAUUAUUGUUAGUUUUAUACUUUUAUUAUAUUAAAAAUUUAAAAUUAUUUUAUGUUUACUGAUUUUUUCUUGGACUGGUUAAUAAAAUCUUAGCUGCAAAAUUUGCAGUUGUUUCUGCUCAAUGCGUAAAGUAAAUGGCUGUUUAUGACACUAAGGUAGCAAAAUCAUUAGCUACUUAAUUGGUAGCUUGUAUGAAUGAAUUUUCCAGGAGGAUAUUAUUUUUUUUUUGAAUUUAUAUAUUUGUUGAAAAUAACAAUUUCCCCCAUAAGACUAAAAGACCCUAAAAUUUUUAUAACUAAUAAAAAAAAUUUGGUUAUUUAAUUGGGGCAAUGGAAAAAGAUUAAUAUUAGGUGAUUUAUUUUUUUUUGAACUUUUUUUAUAGAUAAGAGGUAAAAUACUUUAGGGAUAACAGCUUAAUUAUUUUUAAGAGUUCUUAUUAUUGAAAUAGUUUUAGACCUCGAUGUUGGAUUGGGGAAACUUUUUGGGGCAG
rnacentral:rRNA from 1 species